GUACAUUAAUCUGAAUAAUAAUGACUUUCUUUUAUUUCCAAUUCUACCAAAGAGGACAGCUAAAGAAGCAACCCAAAGUGAAAGACUUGAAGAAAUAUACUGGCAAUAAGACGCAAUCAUUUCAUGGCUAUACAGGAUGAUGACUAUGUAGCACUAUUUCAUAUCUAAGUGUAGUAUUUAUCAAUUAAUGUUAGUAGGACAGAAUAGAAGAGUUAUUUAAAUGGACAGUGGAUUUUGAUAUCAUGAAACCCAAUGUUGAAAAGCACUUCAAAACAGCUUGAAAUCAAUAUCAGCUCUAAGAAAGAUGGUUAGAGAGAGCUUCAACCAAGUCUGAUGCUUAAUCAUGAACUAAA